GACGAACGCUGGCGGCGUGCUUAACACAUGCAAGUCGAACGGUGAAGCGCUUGCCUUUUUGGUGGGUGUGGAUGAGUGGCGAACGGGUGAGUAACACGUGAGUAACCUGCCCUCUUCUUCUGGAUAACCUCAUGAAAGUGGGGCUAAUACGGGGUAUUCCGGGUCUGUCGCAUGGCGGGUUUGGGAAAGAUUGCGCCUUUGGGUGUUUUCGGUGGGGGAUGGGCUCGCGGCCUAUCAGCUUGUUGGUGGGGUGAUGGCCUACCAAGGCGGUGACGGGUAGCCGGCCUGAGAGGGUGGACGGCCACACUGGGACUGAGACACGGCCCAGACUCCUGCGGGAGGCAGCAGUGGGGAAUAUUGCACAAUGGGCGCAAGCCUGAUGCAGCGACGCCGCGUGAGGGAUAGAGGCCUUCGGGUUGUGAACCUCUUUCGCCAGUGAAGCAGGCCUGCUCCUGUGUGGGUGGGUUGACGGUAGCUGGAUAAGAAGCGCCGGCUAACUACGUG
rnacentral:rRNA from 1 species